AUUGAACGCUGGCGGCAUGCCUUACACAUGCAAGUCGAACGGCAGCACGGGUGCUUGCACCUGGUGGCGAGUGGCGAACGGGUGAGUAAUACAUCGGAACAUGUCCUGUAGUGGGGGAUAGCCCGGCGAAAGCCGGAUUAAUACCGCAUACGAUCCACGGAUGAAAGCGGGGGACCUUCGGGCCUCGCGCUAUAGGGUUGGCCGAUGGCUGAUUAGCUAGUUGGUGGGGUAAAGGCCUACCAAGGCGACGAUCAGUAGCUGGUCUGAGAGGACGACCAGCCACACUGGGACUGAGACACGGCCCAGACUCCUACGGGAGGCAGCAGUGGGGAAUUUUGGACAAUGGGCGAAAGCCUGAUCCAGCAAUGCCGCGUGUGUGAAGAAGGCCUUCGGGUUGUAAAGCACUUUUGUCCGGAAAGAAAUCCUUGGCUCUAAUACAGUCGGGGGAUGACGGUACCGGAAGAAUGAGCACCGGCUAACUACGUG
rnacentral:rRNA from 1 species